CCUACGGGUGGCAGCAGUGAGGAAUAUUGGUCAAUGGGCGAAAGCCUGAACCAGCGAAGCAGCGUGAAUGAUGAAGGCCCUCUGGGUUUUAAACUUUAUUUAUAUGGGAAUAAAACAGGGUCUGCAUAUCCUCUUGUACGUAUCAUAUCAAUCAGGAUCGGCUAACUCCGCGCCAGAAGCCGCGGUAAUACGGAGGGUCCGAGCGUUAUCCGGAUUUAUUGGGUUGAACGGGAGCGUAGGUGGAUUGGUAAGUCUGUUGUGAAAGUUUGCGGCUCAACCGUAAAAUUGCAGUUGAAACUGGAAGUCUUGAGUGCAGGAGAGGGGGGUGGAAUUCCAGGUGUAGCGGUGAAAUGCGUAGAUAUCACGAAGAACUCCGGUGGCGAAGGCGGCUGACUGGACUGCAACUGACACUGAGGCUCGAAAGUGUGGGGAGCAAACAGGAUUAGAUACCCCUGUAGUC
rnacentral:rRNA from 1 species